UACGUAGGGGGCAAGCGUUGUCCGGAUUCAUUGGGCGUAAAGAGCGUGUAGGCGGCCAGGUAGGUCGGUUGUGAAAACUGGAGGCUCAACCUUCAGAGGUCGACCGAAACCAUCUGGCUAGAGUCCGGGAGAGGAGAGUGGAAUUCCUGGUGUAGCGGUGAAAUGCGCAGAGUAUCAGGAAGAACACCCGUGGCGAAAGCGGCUCUCUGGAACGGUACUGACGCUGAGACGCGAAAGCGUGGGA
rnacentral:rRNA from 1 species